UGCAGUCGAGCGGAACGAGUUAUCUGAACCUUCGGGGAACGAUAACGGCGUCGAGCGGCGGACGGGUGAGUAAUGCCUAGGAAAUUGCCCUGGUGUGGGGGAUAACCAUUGGAAACGAUGGCUAAUACCGCAUAAUACCUACGGGUCAAAGAGGGGGACCUUCGGGCCUCUCGCGUCAGGAUAUGCCUAGGUGGGAUUAGCUAGUUGGUGAGGUAAUGGCUCACCAAGGCGACGAUCCCUAGCUGGUCUGAGAGGAUGAUCAGCCACACUGGAACUGAGACACGGUCCAGACUCCUACGGGAGGCAGCAGUGGGGAAUAUUGCACAAUGGGCGCAAGCCUGAUGCAGCCAUGCCGCGUGUGUGAAGAAGGCCUUCGGGUUGUAAAGCACUUUCAGUCGUGAGGAAGGUGGUGUUGUUAAUAGCUGCAUUAUUUGACGUUAGCGACAGAAGAAGCACCGGCUAACUCCGUGCCAGCAGCCGCGGUAAUACGGAGGGUGCGAGCGUUAAUCGGAAUUACUGGGCGUAAAGCGCAUGCAGGUGGUUUGUUAAGUCAGAUGUGAAAGCCCGGGGCUCAACCUCGGAAUAGCAUUUGAAACUGGCAGACUAGAGUACUGUAGAGGGGGGUAGAAUUUCAGGUGUAGCGGUGAAAUGCGUAGAGAUCUGAAGGAAU
rnacentral:rRNA from 1 species